AUGAACGCUGGCGGCGUGCCUAAUCCAUGCAGGUCGAGCGAACGGACGAGAAGCUUGCUUUUCUGAUGUUAGCGGCGGACGGGUGAGUAACACGUGGAUAACCUACCUAUAAGACUGGGAUAACUUCGGGAAACCGGAGCUAAUACCGGAUACUAUUUUGAACCGCAUGGUUCAAAAGUGUAAGACGGUCUUGCUGUCACUUAUAGAUGGAUCCGCGCUGCAUUAGCUAGUUGGUAAGGUAACGGCUUACCAAGGCAACGAUGCAUAGCCGACCUGAGAGGGUGAUCGGCCACACUGGAACUGAGUCACGGUCCAGACUCCUACGGGAGGCAGCAGUAGGGAAUCUUCCGCAAUGGGCGAAAGCCUGACGGAGCAACGCCGCGUGAGUGAUGAAGGUCUUCGGAUCGUAAAACUCUGUUAUUAGGGAAGAACAUAUGUGUAAGUAACUGUGCACAUCUUGACGGUACCUAAUCAGAAAGCCACGGCUAACUACGUG
rnacentral:rRNA from 1 species